rnacentral:rRNA from 1 species
GAUGAACGCUAGCUACAGGCUUAACACAUGCAAGUCGCGGGGCAGCAUGAAUUUAGCUUGCUAAAUUUGAUGGCGACCGGCGCACGGGUGAGUAACGCGUAUCCAACCUUCCCUUAUCCACGGGAUAGCCCGUCGAAAGGCGGAUUAAUACCGUAUGAGGUCAUUUGAUGGCAUCUGAUUAUGACGAAAGGUUUGGCGGAUAAGGAUGGGGAUGCGUCCGAUUAGCUUGUUGGCGGGGUAACGGCCCACCAAGGCGACGAUCGGUAGGGGUUCUGAGAGGAAGGUCCCCCCACAUUGGAACUGAGACACGGUCCAAACUCCUACGGGAGGCAGCAGUGAGGAAUAUUGGUCAAUGGGCGAGAGCCUGAACCAGCCAAGUAGCGUGCAGGAUGACGGCCCUAUGGGUUGUAAACUGCUUUUAUGCGGGGAUAAAGUGGGGGAUGCAUCCCUUUUUGCAGGUACCGCAUGAAUAAGGACCGGCUAAUUCCGUGCCAGCAG